rnacentral:lncRNA from 1 species
UUUCUGUUUGUGUGAGUUGAUUAUGAUUAUAGUGUGUUCUCAUGUUUGAGUACCAGAACUGUAAGCAUGCUUGAGCCUUGGUGAUCUCUAUGAUAAUGUUUACCAACAGUAGUCUGUAUAGCAACAGUUAGUAUUAAAUAUAUAUUUUUGUUAAUUAAAAUUUUCAUUUCUCAACAAAUAUUUCCAUACUAUACUCGAGCUUAAUCUGGACAUACAGCUGUUGUGCUCCUCCCUCUGUAGUAUUUCCCUGCCCAUUCAAGCUCAUUUGCCCACAUCAUUGGUUGUCUCUUAAUCCCUUGCCAUUGCAGCAUUGCUAUCCAUAUUCUCGUUGCAUAGUUACAUUUAAAAAACAGACGAUCCAUUGUCUCCUCCUCACUAUUACAUAAAGAACAUAUUAUAUUAUUAUUAUUAUUAUUAUUAUUAUUAUUAUUAUUAUUUUGUUUAAAUGGCAGAUUUUAGGUUUCUAUAGAAUUUUAAGCUUGUUUUGUUGUAACUCUCGAACGGUUUUAUUAAUUAAGGUAGCAAGCCCUAACAAAUGAUUUGGAUUACUAUUAUGUGACACUAAGUGAUGUCGAUUCUCUUUAAGAGCGCAAUUGUGGUAUGUGGGGACACUUGCGUGCUUCAUCCUCAAUGAAUAAGCGCGUGACAUCCAAGGAUUCCAUGAAUGCUGAUGUCGAAGCCAAUUCUGGUGAGUCAACUCUCUUGUUGCAAUCACUGCAUUUUAUCUUGUGCAUUAAUUUUAGAAAUCUAGUAGAAGAGGAUUAUUCAUGAAGGUUACACUCUUUUUUUUUUUGGUCCAUGGGGUGCAAUUAUCUAGAAUUGUCGGAUACUGUAGAAAUUUAAUAGUAGUAUAUCCUUAUUCUGACUGCAUUUCUUUUGCACGACAAAUUAAAAUGGAAAAAGAAGGCAGAGCUAAAAGCAUGUUUUUUGUUUUUCCUGUCAUACUCAUUAUGAUACUUUGUCUGAUAUUCUUUUGAAUUCUUGUAUUUAAACUUAGAUCUUCUUGAGAAUGGCGAGCAAGAGAUGACAAAUCCCUCUUGGAGGUAUUCGUGCCCGCAUGUACUUGUGGCAACAAUAGUUGCAUUUCUAUUUGGCUAUCAUCUUGGGUUAGUUUUGGAUCAUACUCUUUCCUCUACAUUGUCUUUCUAUAAUCUUGAGUAUCAUCUUGGUUAAUUCUGGAAAUUGUUCUCAGAGAUUUUCUCCAUGAUUAAAAGAAAUAUUGUCCUGUUCCCUGUCUCAUCUGCAGGGUAGUGAAUGAACCACUUGAAAGAAUUUCAAUUGAUCUUGGCUUCAGUGGGGAUACAUUGGCUGAAGGUAACUGACAUUCUAUUUUUUUUUAAAUAUCCGUCAUUUCUUUUUGGAAUUUCAAGUUCAAUAUUUUUCCAUGAAUGAAGGUUUGGUGGUGAGUACUUGUCUAGCUGGUGCCUUUGCUGGAUCCCUGAUCAGUGGUUGGAUUGCCGAUGGAGUUGGCCGUCGUCGAGCCUUUCAGUUGUGCUCAUUGCCCAUGAUUAUGCAUUGUGGCAACAAUAGUUGCAUUUCUAUUUGGCUAUCAUCUUGGGUUAGUUUUGGAUCAUACUCUUUCCUCUACACUGUCUUUCUAUAAUCUUGAGUAUCAUCUUGGGUUAAUUCUGGAAAUUGUUCUCAGAGAUUUUCUCCAUGAUUAAAAGAAAUAUUGUCCUGUUCCCUGUCUCAUCUGCAGGGUAGUGAAUGAACCACUUGAAAGAAUUUCAAUUGAUCUUGGCUUCAGUGGGGAUACAUUGGCUGAAGGUAACCGACAUUCUAUUCUUUUGGAAUAUCCAUCAUUUCUUUUUGGAAUUUUAAGUUCAAUAGUUUUCCAUGAAUGAAGGUUUGGUUGUGAGUACUUGUCUAGCUGGUGCCUUUGCUGGAUCCCUGAUUAGUGGUUGGAUUGCUGAUGGAGUUGGCCGUCGUCGAGCCUUUCAGUUAUGCUCAUUGCCUAUGAUUAUGGGUGCUUCAUUAUGGUAAAGUCCAAAUUUCCCCCAAUGCUCAUCUAUAUCCAAUGGUUUGGGUGGUAGACUAAAGGUUCUUCCUCUUAUUAUUGAACUUGUUGUGCUUUCAAUAUGAUCUCUUUGUGUUCUACUUAAAAAGUAUAGAAGAUGGCUGAAUUGCUUGCUAGGUUUGAGAGAAUAGCCAUGCUCCUUUUGGCGUUAAGCGGUUCUUAGGGUCUUACAUGCUUCUUCUAGGGAAGGCUCUUUCCGGUAAUGUUUCCAGUAAGGACUUAUAGGAAGGCAGUGCACUGAGAAGUUUAUGAAAAGAAAAAGGUCCAUGAUUUAGGGAAUGCCUGUUGUAAAAGUUUUACUUGGAUAUCUUCACGGGAAGGAUUUUGCAGGAACCAAACUUCUGAGAGAUUUUUAUCUGAAAGAACUCUGCCAAAAUGAAAAAAGGAGAAUAGAUACAAGAAUGACUUUUCAAUAAUGUGCUGUUGGGAAGAAACUACUAUCUCCAUUUUAUUAAAUAUUAAAAUAUAAAAAAGAUAUCCUAAAUAGACUGACGGAUAUUGGGCCUAUGGAAGCAGUGCAAUAUCUCGCCCAUUUUUCUUUUGUUUAUCAAAUCUCAUAAGUAAGUCUCGUAAUAUCAAUCUGGAUCAAUUUGGAUUAGAACUGUAACUAAGGAUAUGGCAGAUGUCUAGGUCUUCUAACCUUGUAAUCUGCGUAUAGCUUGCAUAUGGUAGACACUAAAGCAUAUGGCUUAAGAAACAUGAACUUUAGCCCAUUGAGUAUAACACUGGGAAAAGGGUUUAUUCCUCUUACAUUAAGCUAGAAGUUUUGCUUUGUAGUUUGUUUAGUUAUGUGCUUUUACAUUGGGGUGUUUUAGUGUAUACUUGUGGAUUAGAUGGUAUUUUACGCUUGUUAGUGAUCAUUAUGAACGUUACUCCGUAGAAGCGUUUCUAGUUCACUUGAAAAAAGCUAUUGUAUGUGUUGGUUGAAUGUGUGAAUUUAGUUCUGGGGAAUUUGAAUAACUGAAUGUUGCUUUUGGAUCUCUCAAGUGCAUUCAUGUUGUUUCCCCCUCCCAUCAUCUUCUUGCUCUCCUCUGUGAAGUUUCAUUCUCCUUCGCAACUCAUUAUAUGAUCUUUCAGUUAGUUAAGAAUUACGAUGUUUAGUACUAUGUGCAUAGCUUAAGUGCUGGUUUGAGUAUGUGAAAGACUUGUUGUCAACAGGAUAACAUGAGAUUUGAACUUCUAACAGUUGUUCUGGAAGAUUGAAAUCACUUAAAAUUACUCCUGCGCCCUUUGCAUAGGAAUUGACUUUUCUUAUCUUUUCUCAUUUUCCUUCUGUUUGACAAUGCUUUUUGUGGCUUUUCGAAAAGAUGCUUCGCUAGUCCCGCUAGAAGCAACAGAAUUUAUGUUUUCCAUCUCAUGGUUCUGGUAUCAGAAUUCUUAUUAUCUCUUUUGUUCUUUAAAGUCAUUUGGACUGGUAGUGACACAUGUAUUUUCCAGUGCAACAGCGAAAACUCUGGCAGACAUGCUUGCAGGAAGGUUUUUAGUGGGGUUAGGAUUGGGUGUGGGUCCUCCUGUUGCUUCUCUUUACGUAACAGAGGUAAAGCUACUAUGAGCUUUAGGGUAUGAUGCUUUUAAUUAUUUCUAACCUUCCUAGGUUCUGUUAAUAUUCUUGAUGUUGGUGCAGGUUUCUCCUGCUCAUGUGAGGGGUACUUAUGGGAGUUCGAUCCAAAUAGCAACAUGUCUUGGGCUGAUGGCAGCUCUUGUCAUAGGGAUCCCUGUCAAGAACAUAGUGGGUUGGUACGAUAAAUAGUAUUUACUGGGAAAACUUCUGUAGAUGACUUGCUUUGUGUAGCAAUGAAGUUGUAUCUGAGCUCAUUAUGUUAACAGGUGGCGUGUAUGUUUUUGGAUAUCUACUAUUCCAGCUGCAAUACUUGCACUUGCUAUGAUGUUCUGUGCUGAGUCCCCUCAUUGGCUAUAUAAGGUAUUCUAAUGUAUGGGCCUCUUGCUCCUUUGAUGAUUAUUCUCAAUGUCCAUCCUCUGACUGAGUUCUUGAGUUGUUAUAGUUCCUAGGGUCUCUAAGCUAAUCCAUAUUUAGAUGUAUACCUACUGAAUUCCUUCUGUGCUGACAAUUUUACUGGUUGAAUGUCCAAUCUCUUCUUAAGUAUCGUUUUCUUUUACUUUCUUAUAAUUAUGUUCCCUUGCUCAUAAAGGGUUGCAUCACCACUAUCUUUUUACAUUUUGUUCCUCCCUAUUGCACUUUCCAUAAGGUUUAAGCUAAUAUAUAGUCUAGAGCUAUUUGGCAUAAAUAAAGGGGGUAAAGU